rnacentral:ncRNA from 1 species
AAUAGAGGUUGCGGGAUGCAUCAGUAUUCUGCCGGAGGAGGCCGUGCUCCCCGGAUGGCAGAGGAAAGGGCCACCGCCGAAGUUCCGUCUGUUGCGGUGCAGGCGGCGCUGGACGCAGCUGUCAACAGCGCUGCGGCUGUCAUCCGAGGAUGGAUGGAGUGCUAUUC